rnacentral:rRNA from 1 species
AACGCUGGCGGCAGGCCUAUCACAUGCAAGUCGAGCGGUAACAGGGGUAGCUUGCUACCCGCUGACGAGCGGCGGACGGGUGAGUAAUGCAUAGGAAUCUGCCCGAUAGUGGGGGAUAACCUGGGGAAACCCAGGCUAAUACCGCAUACGUCCUACGGGCGGAAGGGGGCUUUGGCUCCCGCUAUUGGAUGAGCCUAUGUCGGAUUAGCUAGUUGGUAAGGUAAUGGCUUACCAAGGCAUCGAUCCGUAGCUGGUCUGAGAGGAUGAUCAGCCACAUCGGGACUGAGACACGGCCCGAACUCCUACGGGAGGCAGCAGUGGGGAAUAUUGGACAAUGGGGGCAACCCUGAUCCAGCCAUGCCGCGUGUGUGAAGAAGGCCCUCGGGUUGUAAAGCACUUUCAGCGAGGAAGAACGCCUAUCGGUUAAUACCCGGUAGGAAAGACAUCACUCGCAGAAGAAGCGCCGGCUAACUCCGUGCCAUCAGCCGCGGUAAUACGGAGGGUGCAAGCGUUAAUCGGAAUUACUGGGCGUAAAGCGCGCGUAGGUGGCUUGAUAAGCCGGUUGUGAAAGCCCCGGGCUCAACCUGGGAACGGCAUCCGGAACUGUCAGGCUAGAGUGCAGGAGAGGAAGGUAGAAUUCCCGGUGUAGCGGUGAAAUGCGUAGAGUUCGGGAGGAAUACCAGUGGCGAAGGCGGCCUUCUGGACUGACACUGACACUGAGGUGCGAAAGCGUGGGUAGCAAACCAGGAUUAGAUACCCUGGUAGUCCACGCCGUAAACGAUGUCGACCAGCCGUUGGGUGCCUAGAGCACUUUGUGGCGAAGUUAACGCGAUAAGUCGACCGCCUGGGGAGUACGGCCGCAAGGUUAAAACUCAAAUGAAUUGACGGGGGCCCGCACAAGCGGUGGAGCAUGUGGUUUAAUUCGAUGCAACGCGAAGAACCCGACCUACCCUUGACAUCUACAGAAGCCGGAAGAGAUUCUGG